rnacentral:lncRNA from 1 species
UUACAUUGUUAAUGUACUGCAUAACUUUAAAUUUAAUUAUUUUUUUUUAAAUUAGAAAAAUGGCAUAUUUUACUGUCCCAUGUAGUAUGAUAUUUUAUACCUUAUAUGCAGCAAUAAUUAUAAAUGAUUGCAUUAAUUCUUUUAACUAAGCAAAGCCUUCUCUGUAGGUUAUAAUUCCAUAAGCAAUAUCAUUACCAGUAAUAAGAGUGUAAUAAAUGUAUAUUCAAAGUUUAAAUCAAAUUGGGAAUGGAAAUGGGGAGUGUGUCAAAGAGACAGCAACCUGACCAAAAAGUAGAAAACAGCCCAAGGCCAUCAAUUUGUAUGCCAAAGGGCUUAGGGCAACAAUUCGAUCGUACAUAUAUAGCCUCAAUUUUUUUGAAAUAUUUUUUUUAACACCUGAAUCGUAUGAAUGAGGUGGGUGUUUUAAAAACAACAUCAUAGCUACCAGCUUCCCUCACAUUUGUCACAAAGCUUUGUCUUAAGUUAUUGCAAAGAAUUAUUUGUCUCCUAUUAUUUUGUAUGGAAUGUAAUUAUAUUUUUAUACUACAUCCACAUGUUAUCUGUGAUCAAAUGUUUGUUUUGUUGGCUGUGAAUACAUGUAUGUAUUUAUAUUUGGUUAGAUGUUCAAUGUUAGUCUGCUUUUAACUAGUCUAGAUUUUACACAUAAAGUUUAUAUAAAAGCGAUGAAUUUCAGAGUUUAUAAAAAUAGGGGAGCAUAGUUGAAGAGUUUAUAUUACGGGAGCAUAUUGCAAAAAUUUAUAUUUUAUUGAUAUUUAUUUUUGACCAAACUAGAGUUGUAUUUUAUGAAUAAGUUACACCAGUUGACCCAAGGUCAAUUGGAUUAAAUGAUGUUAUUGAACAGUUGGUUCUUACUGUGACAUAAUGAUAUAAGCAUUGUGACAUAAUGAUAUAAGUAUUGUGACAUAAUGAUAUAAGUACUGUGACAUAAUGAUAUAAGCAUUGUGACAUAAAUGAACCAACUUGAAAGUAGUGUAUUACACUUGAAUCAUUGUUUAUUUUCAUGUCUGAUCAUACUGUAAACCAAGUCAUUUCGCUGAUACUUUAUUUUGUAUUUAGUCCUACUAUCCCAUUUCGUGAUCUUAAAAUUGUUUGAUGUAAUUUAAGGUGGUACCUAACACUACAAGGAGAUUACUCUGUAAAGUCAGCUAAACGUUUUAAUUACGUUUGUGUUGUAAAAGGA